rnacentral:tRNA from 1 species
GCGGACAUAGCUCAGUGGGUAGAGCGUGAGCCUUCCAAGCUCAAUGUCGUCGGUUCGAAGCCGUCUGUCCGCUCCA